rnacentral:rRNA from 1 species
AAUGAACGCUGGCGGCGUGGUUAAGACAUGCAAGUCGAACGGUUUUUCAGGUGUAGCAAUACACUCGAAAAGCAGUGGCGAACGGGUGCGUAACACGUGAACAAUCUACCUUUUAGUGUGGAAUAGCUCGGCGAAAGCCGGAUUAAUACCGCAUGUGGUUGCUGCUCGCAUGAGCGGCAUACUAAAGUCAGGGACCGCAAGGCCUGACGCUAUUAGAGGAGUUCGCGGCCUAUCAGCUAGUUGGCGAGGUAACGGCUCACCAAGGCUAAGACGGGUAGCUGAUCUGGGAGGAUGAUCAGCCACACUGGAACUGAGACACGGUCCAGCCACCUACGGGUGGCAGCAGUUUCGAAUCAUUCACAAUGGGCGAAAGCCUGAUGGUGCGACGCCGCGUGAGGGAUGAAGGUCUUCGGAUUGUAAACCUCUGUCACCGGGGAAGAAACGCUUCAAGUUAACAGCUUGAAGCCUGACUUAACCCGGAGAGGAAGCAGUGGCUAACUCUGUGCCAGCCGCCGCCGUAA